GAUGAACGCUGGCGGCGUGCUUAACACAUGCAAGUCGAACGGAGUUUAUCGGAAGCUUGCUUCUGAUAAACUUAGUGGCGGACGGGUGAGUAACGCGUGGGUGACCUGCCUUAUACUGGGGGAUAACACUUAGAAAUAGGUGCUAAUACCGCAUAAGCGCACAGUUCUGCAUGGAACAGUGUGAAAAACUCCGGUGGUAUAAGAUGGACCCGCGUCUGAUUAGCUUGUUGGUGAGGUAACGGCUCACCAAGGCGACGAUCAGUAGCCGGCCUGAGAGGGUGAACGGCCACAUUGGGACUGAGACACGGCCCAAACUCCUACGGGAGGCAGCAGUGGGGAAUAUUGCACAAUGGGGGGAAACCCUGAUGCAGCGACGCCGCGUGAGUGAAGAAGUAUUUCGGUAUGUAAAGCUCUAUCAGCAGGGAAGAAAAUGACGGUACCUGACUAAGAAGCCCCGGCUAACUACGUG
rnacentral:rRNA from 1 species